CCAAUGGUUUUGGGGCGUACCGACAACUCAAGAAGGAAGGUAUCCAUCUCUUAGGGGAUCUACAAGGUUGGACUUGAAGGGCACUUACCUAUAGGUUAACAUGGUGCCUCGUGAAGUUUCUGAAGUCGGUCACUGCGCACUGAAAAGCAAAGGGUAUCUGCUGUCACAUACCUAGACGACUUACCUUUUGCAAAUCCAAUUCAUGACUACGUUUACAAACGAGAUUUAUGUUUACAGUUUCGGGAAUUGUUGGGAUUCAUAGUGAACAGAGAGGAGUUGGUUCAAUCCCAGUUCCGAGUGAUUCAGUUCCUCUAUUUCAGAAUAGAUUCCACCUUGGGCGGAUUACACCUUCCCACAUCAUUGAUAGCGAUGAUUCGUAAGGAAAUUCGACGGGUACGGCGGAAAGGCACCAUAACCCUUUGACUAUUUCCCAGGACUGCUUCACUACCAGGCCAGACAGUGGCUGAAAGCUCACUGCCUGAGAUACGGACACACCUAUGAAAUUGGGAUCAGAAUAGCGAAGACUUCGAUAGUACUCAUUACUGCGGUAAAGGAGGCAAGCGUGACACCCAG